rnacentral:rRNA from 1 species
GGAAUUCGAUUACCGCGAAGAACCUUACCAAGGCUUGACAUACACCGGAAACUUCCAGAGAUGGUUGCCCCGCAAGGUCGGUGUACAGGUGGUGCAUGGUUGUCGUCAGCUCGUGUCGUGAGAUGUUGGGUUAAGUCCCGCAACGAGCGCAACCCUCGUCCUAUGUUGCCAGCGGGUCAUGCCGGGGACUCAUAGGAGACUGCCGGGGUCAACUCGGAGGAAGGUGGGGAUGACGUCAAAUCAUCAUGCCCCUUAUGUCUUGGGCUUCACGCAUGCUACAAUGGCCGGUACAAAGGGCUGCGAUACCGCGAGGUGGAGCGAAUCCCAAAAAGCCGGUCUCAGUUCGGAUUGGGGUCUGCAACUCGACCCCAUGAAGUCGGAGUCGCUAGUAAUCGCAGAUCAGCAACGCUGCGGUGAAUACGUUCCCGGGCCUUGUACACACCG